rnacentral:lncRNA from 10 species
AUUUCCGCCGGCGCGAAACGAGCGUAGCUUCCUUGUCGUGUGGCCUCAGUCCUUCGCCGUCCCUCGCCGUCCUUCGCCAUCGCACGCCACCGCACCCCAUCUCUCGAAAUCUGCAGACAUCUUGAUUUUUCCCACGCUGUCUGUCAGGUCUCCGCCGCCACUCGACGCCAGGGCGCCGGGCCUUGUGGGCUGUGCUGCACCUCGGACGGCUUCGCACCAGCCAGCGCCCUCUCUCUCCUGCAGCACUCUGAUCUGCACCCCCUGAGGGGCUUCCACUGUCCGCGGGGUGAGAAUGCCCCUGGGAGUGUCACAUGACUGCCGCCCCAUGUGUGUGAGAGGCGUCCUCUGGGAGAGCAUGGAUCCUGAGGUCCCAGGAUUGUCAGCUGACCUCUGUCCUGUGUGCCCAGUGGCCCCAGGUGACGUGUCUUCAAGAAGAGGCUGAGCUGCGGUGCUUGUAAGGGUCUCAUUCUGUCACCCAGGCUGGAGUGCAGUGGUGCAAUGAUGGCUCACUGCAGCCUCGACCUGGGCUCAAGUGAUCCUCCACCUCAGCUUCCUGAGUAGCUGGGACCACAGAGUCAUGUGCUGUUCCUGGGGCUUGGAUGAUGUAGGGGAAGCAAGGUGAAAGUGGUAUCCCGUGGUUCCACGUUCUGUCCUGCUGUGGGGCUGUCCCUCACAUGCUUUCAGUGGCUGUUGCAGAGGAAGAGCCUCCGGAAAUCUGCGUGGGUCUCAGCCUUAGAUCCAAGGACAGUCCAAGGAAGUCCUAAGACCAUGGAGUUGGUGAUCUGGGAUCUGGGUUUGCUGAUAUUUCUCACCGUGAAUCUCUUGGUGGUGUUUGUGGGCACGAGAGGGGCAGAGAAUGGAGAGUGAGGCUACCACAUGAAGCGUCACCAGAGCUGCUCCCUGCUGCCUGCUCAGAGCACCCCGGAUCCACUGUUCAAUCUGCACAAGAUUCGGGGUCCAGACAUGGGAGACUUCAGCUGCCUCAGAGGACCGUGGACAGGGAAGGCCAGCCUCGCAUCCCUCUGUCCAUGCCUGGAAUGACUUUAAUAACCAAGAGUUUUAUUUUUGAAUUUGUAGCUGUCGUUCACUUUUUACCCACCCAUUCAAUAAACCUUACAGAAUUGCUCCA